rnacentral:rRNA from 1 species
AAUCAACGCUGGCGGCGUGCCUCAGACAUGCAAGUCGAACGCGAAAGUCCCCUUCGGGGGAUGAUUAGAGUGGCGCACGGGUGAGUAACACGUAGGUAAUCUACCUUCGAGUGGGGAAUAACUCAGGGAAACUUGAGCUAAUACCGCAUAAUGCAGCGGCACCACAUGGUGACAGUUGUUAAAGCAUUUAUGCGCUUGAAGAGGAGCCUGCGGCGGAUAGCUAGUUGGUAAGGUAAUGGCUUACCAAGGCUACGAUCUGUAACCGGCUGAGAGGGCGGACGGUCACACUGACACUGAAUAACGGGUCAGACUCCUACGGGAGGCAGCA